rnacentral:lncRNA from 1 species
GCAUGGGGGGCAUAGUUUGCCUUGGAGAGGAUACUCUGAGAAUGGUGCUUAUGUAGGUCCUAGAGGUGGGCCCAGGACAUUUAAGAAAAGAAGUAGUCACAUGGUCGAGAUGAGGCACAUCUUCUGGGCCCUAAGGUUUGCUCACACCAUGGGAAGAGUUGUGGCCAAAAAAGGGCCAGGAUCCUGCAAACUGACCUCUGUAGGCCUCUCCCCGGACUAGCCUGCUCAAGGAAUUUCUUUAUCCCCCAGUGCUUGUCUUUUAAUACCUCUUUGGCCUCAUCAGGCUACACAUAGGCCAUCUAAUAGCUUGCUACUAGGUAUGUCUGUGAACCUACUGCAGAAGGAUUACCUGAGAAAUAUAAAUUUUUGGCUCUCAGAUCUACAGAAUCAAAAUCUGCAUUUUAUCAAGAUUUCCUAGUGAUUUAUAUGCACAAUAAAAU